ACUGACAGCCGACCUGUUGCAGAGUCCAUGAGAGGAAGACGGUGAGGAGACAGUGGACAGGGGGACAGGGGACACAGAAACCGUCGAGUUCAGUCACGGCCUCGGAGCAGAAAGGACAGGAUUUCAGGAGUGAACAGAUUUCGAUCAGACUCGUUUCUCUGCCGAGGAUCGACGACGAUGAUGAGAUGACGUCUCCGGGUCUGAUCCCACUGUGAUUCCACUCAUGUUGCAGCUUCACGGCGUCCACAGAAGUCCAGCACGGACGGAGAGCAGACCGAGCACGCUGCCCUCUGUCGGCCAUUGAGGGAAAAGCAGCGCUUUUGACAAAACAAAAAGUACAGAAACACCGAUUAAGAAGACGUGAUCAAUCCACCACAGAUCGGUGGGACGUGUUGUCGUGAAGUGGACCGGGUUCUACCACAGAACCCAGAGAACUUUUCACGUCAUCAAAACUGUAACUAACAAUGAAGACGUACUGACUAAGAUGCAGAGGAGGCCGUGGUCCAGCAGGGGUCAGAUGUUCUGACCCGGACAGUUUAUCAUCAACGGUGACAGCAGAUGAUUCUGAUUCAACUCCACUGACGUCACUGAUGACGUCACUAACUACACCUGACCUGCUCUGCUUUACUAGCUACUGUUGCUAACUACAGGCUAACUACUGGUGUCUUUGAACCUUAUUCGUUCGCCGUCUGUGACCGUUCGCCGUCUGUGACCGUUCACCGUCUGUGACUCCAGCAGAGCCGUCGUCCACACUGCACAGUCUCUACUUCCUGUCUCCAUGAAGAGACUUCAAAAACACACAGUAACGACAACAACCGGAGGAUCGGUGUCAAACAUCUGAACUCUUCCCAGGGUGUUUUCUAGUCUCGCCCUGGAGGUUGCGUCAGGA